GCAUUGCUGAAGAGUCCCAUGCUAGGACGAAACAGCUGUCCAAUGC
rnacentral:hammerhead_ribozyme from 1 species